UACAGAGGGGGCAAGCGUUGUUCGGAAUUACUGGGCGUAAAGGGCGCGUAGGCGGCCUGCUAAGUCGAACGUGAAAUCCCCGGGCUCAACCCGGGAACUGCGUCCGAUACUGGCAGGCUUGAAUUCGGGAGAGGGAUGCGGAAUUCCAGGUGUAGCGGUGAAAUGCGUAGAUAUCAGGAGGAACACCGGUGGCGAAGGCGGAUCUCUGGGCCUUACCUGACGCUGAGGCGCGAAAGCUAGGGGAGCAAACAGG
rnacentral:rRNA from 1 species